AGAGUUUGAUCAUGACUCAGGACGAACGGCUGGCGGCGUGCUUAACACAUGCAAGUCGAACGGAAAGGCCUUUCGGGGUACUCGAGCGGCGAACGGGUGAGUAACACGUGAGUAAUCUGCCCUUAGCUCUGGGAUAGCUCCGGGAAACCGGGAUUAAUACCAGAUACGACCACUUUAGACAUCUGCUGUGGUGGAAAGAAUUUCGGCUAGGGAUGAGCUCGCGGCCUAUCAGCUUGUUGGUGGGGUAACGGCCUACCAAGGCGACGACGGGUAGCCGGCCUGAGAGGGCGACCGGCCACACUGGGACUGAGACACGGCCCAGACUCCUACGGGAGGCAGCAGUGGGGAAUAUUGCGCAAUGGGCGAAAGCCUGACGCAGCGACGCCGCGUGGGGGAUGAAGGCCUUCGGGUUGUAAACCCCUUUCAGCAGGGACGAAGCGAAAGUGACGGUACCUGCAGAAGAAGCGCCGGCUAACUACGUGCCAGCAGCCGCGGUAACACGUAGGGCGCAAGCGUUGUCCGGAAUUAUUGGGCGUAAAGAGCUCGUGGGCGGUCUGUUGCGUCCGCUGUGAAAACUCGGGGCUUAACCCCGAGCCUGCAGUGGAUACGGGCGGACUAGAGGUAGGUAGGGGAGAAUGGAAUUCCCGGUGUAGCGGUGAAAUGCGCAGAUAUCGGGAGGAACACCGGUGGCGAAGGCGGUUCUCUGGGCCUUACCUGACGCUG
rnacentral:rRNA from 1 species